rnacentral:rRNA from 1 species
CAGAGGGUGCGAGCGUUAAUCGGAAUUACUGGGCGUAAAGGGCGCGUAGGCGGUGAGAUGUGAGUGAUGUGAAAGCCCUGGGCUUAACCUAGGAAGAGCAUCGCUAACUGUCUGACUGGAGUAUAUGAGAGGGUGGCGGAAUUUCCGGUGUAGCGGGAAAUGCGUAGAGAUCGGAAGGAACGUCGAUGGCGAAGGCAGCCACCUGGCAUAAUACUGACGCUGAGGCGCGAAAGCGUGGGUAGCGAACAGGAUUAGAUACCCUGGUAGUCCACGCUGUAAACGAUGAAGACUAGAUGUUGGUUGGGGAACCAAUCGGUAUCGAAGCUAACGCGAUAAGUCUUCCGCCUGGGAAGUACGGCCGCAAGGUUG